rnacentral:rRNA from 1 species
AUGAACGCUGGCGGCGUGCCUAAUCCAUGCAAGUCGAGCGAACAGACGAGGAGCUUGCUCCUCUGACGUUAGCGGCGGACGGGUGAGUAACACGUGGAUAACCUACCUAUAAGACUGGGAUAACUUCGGGAAACCGGAGCUAAUACCGGAUAAUAUAUUGAACCGCAUGGUUCAAUAGUGAAAGACGGUUUUGCUGUCACUUAUAGAUGGAUCCGCGCCGCAUUAGCUAGUUCGUAAGGUAACGGCUUACCAAGGCAACGAUGCGUAGCCGACCUGAGAGGGUGAUCGGCCACACUGGAACUGAGACACGGUCCAGACUCCUACGGGAGGCAGCAGUAGGGAAUCUUCCGCAAUGGGCGAAAGCCUGACGGAGCAACGCCGCGUGAGUGAUGAAGGUCUUCGGAUCGUAAAACUCUGUUAUUAGGGAAGAACAAAUGUGUAAGUAACUAUGCACGUCUUGACGGUACCUAAUCAGAAAGCCACGGCUAACUACGUG